UCGUGAAAACCGAAGGCUUAACCUUUGGCGUGCGGGCGAUACGGGCAGACUGGAGUACUGCAGGGGAGACUGGAAUUCCUGGUGUAGCGGUGGAAUGCGCAGAUAUCAGGAGGAACACCGGAGGCGAAGGCGGGUCUCUGGGCAGUAACUGACGCUGAGGAGCGAAAGCGUGGGGAGCGAACAGGAUUAGAUACCCUGGUAGUCCACGCCGUAAACGGUGGGUACUAGGUGUGGGUUUCCU
rnacentral:rRNA from 1 species